GGAAAUGUUGCUAGGAACUAAGAACCAGGAUCCAGUUAUAACUUGACCAAAUUUACUAUGUUCCAGAGAUAUGCAAUUAUCAUGUUGAUUAAAUGACGAACAGUUACCAGGGUUAUAGGGGCAAUUUGUGACAUUGAAUUUGACAGGGGUUCGAUAAAUGGUGACAUAGUUUGAUAAGGGUUUGAGGGGCAAGUGGUGACAACAGUUUGACAAGUAUUGGCGGGGUAAAUGUGACAAAAAUUUGACAUGGAUUUGAGGGGUUAAUGGUGACAACAGUUUGACGAGGGUUGCAAGGGGUAAGUGGUAAGAAACAGUCUGAAUUCAGUAUCAAUGAUGAUUAAAACUAACACCAUCUUUCGGCUGAGUCCUGAUGGAUUAUUUUAUAUCUGAUGGUACUGUGAGGCAAACAAGUUAAGCAGGGUUUGAGAUGUUAGUUAGAUGUGUAUUUUGACCAGGAUUCAAAGGGUUAGAUGUGACAUAUAGUCUUGAAAAAGCUUCAAAGGGUUAAAUGGGACAUAUAGUUUAAACAAGGGUUCAAUGUGUAGGAUGUGACAUAUAGUUUUAACAAAGAAUUGUGGGGUCAGUGGUGACUUUGAGUUUGACAAUGUUUUAAUGGGUCAGUGGUGGCGUUUAGUUUUGACAAGGGUUCAAGGGGUAAGAUGACAUAAAGUUAGACAAAAGGUUCAAGGAAUUAAGUGUUGACAAAAAGUUUGAAACCAGUAUCAAUGAUGAUUAAAAUAUUAACACCAUCUUUCGGCUGAGUCCUGAUGGAUUAAUUUAUAUCUGAUGGUACUGUGUGACAUAACAUUGGUUUAAGUGGUGACAUAACAUUGGACAAGGGUUUGAGGUUUAAGUGGUGACAUAAAAUUGGACAAGGGUUUGAGGUUUAAGUGGUGACAUAACAUUAGACAAGAGUUUGAGCUUUAAGUGGUGACAUAACAUUGGACAAGUGUUUGAGGUUAAAAUGGUGACAUAACAUUGGACAAGGGUUUGAGGUUUAAGUGGUGACAUAACAUUGGACAAGGGUUUGAGGUAUAAGUGGUGACAUAACAUUGGACAAGUGUUUGAGGUUUAAGUGGUGACAUAACAUUGGACAAGGGUUUGAGGUUUAAGUGGUGACAUAAAAUUGGACAAGGGUUUGAGGUUUAAGUGGUGAGGGUUUGAGGUAUAAGUGGUGACAUAAAUUUUGGACAAGGGUUUGAGUUUUAAAAGACGACAUAACAUUGGACAAGGGUUACAGGUAUAAGUGGUGACAUAACAUUGGACAAGGGUUUGAGGUUUAAGUGGUGACAUAACAUUGGACAAGAGUUUGAGGUAUAAGUGAUGACAUAACACUGGACAAGGGUUUGAGGUUUAAGUGGUGACAUAACAUUGGACAAGGGUUUGAGGUUUAAGUGGUGACAUAACAUUGGACAAGGGUUUGAGGUUUAAGUGGUGACAUAACAUUGGACAAGGGUUUGAGGUAUAAGUGGUGACAUAACAUUGGACAAGGGUUUGAGGUUUAAGUGGUGACAUAACAUUGGACAAGAGUUUGAGGUAUAAGUGAUGACAUAACACUGGACAAGGGUUUGAGGUUUAAGUGGUGACAUAACAUUGGACAAGGGUUUGAGGUUUAAGUGGUGACAUAACAUUGGACAAGGGUUUGAGGUUUAAGUGGUGACAUAACAUUGGACAAGGGUUUGAGGUUUAAGUGGUGACAUAACAUUGGACAAGAGUUUGAGUUAUAAGUGGUGACAUAACAUUGGACAAGGGUUUGAGGUUUAAGUGGUGACAUAACAUUGGACAAGAGUUUGAGGUAUAAGUGGUGACAUAACAUUGGACAAGGGUUUGAGGUUUAAGUGGUGACAUAACAUUGGACAAGGGUUUGAGGUUUAAGUGGUGACAUAUCAUUGGACAAGUGUUUGGGGUUUAAAUGAUGACAGAUUGACAAAGGUUGCAAAAGUUGAACACAACACUUCUGAUUAGAAAGGGUAAUAGGGGUAAGAUGUGAAAUAAAGUUUUACAAGGGUUCAAGGGAUUAGUGUUGACAUACAGUUUGACAAUGAUUCCAGGAAUUAGGUGCCGACCCAAAAAUAUACAGUGACAAACACUAUCCACAUUUAUUUUUUGUGUGUGUAAAUUAGAGUUUUGUUUUUAUUGCUUGUCAGAAUAAAAUUGUAAUAGUCUGGGGCAUCGAACUACUGGAAACUGGUUGCCAAUGCCAACAUACAUUUGCUUCCAACAUAUCAUUUUAAAUUUGGAAACGUUGCUAGGAACUAAGAACCAGGAUCCAGUUAUAACUUGACCAAAUUUACUAUGUUCCAGAGAUAUGUAAUUAUCAUGUUGAUUAAAUGACGAACAGUUACCAGGGUUAUAGGGGCAAUUUGUGACAUUGAAUUUGACAGGGGUUCGAUAAAUGGUGACAUAGUUUGAUAAGGGUUUGAGGGGCAAGUGGUGACAACAGUUUGACAAGUAUUGGCGGGGUAAAUGUGACAAAAAUUUGACAUGGGUUU